AUGCUUCCGGUUGGUCCGGAAGCGUCGCCAUGGCAGGUACAGGGAGCCGCUCCGCCUGGAGUCCCGCCUCCGCGGCGUCAGGGACUUACCUGGGCGACUAGUGUUCUAGCCCCCGGCGAACCGGACGGUGCUGUCCUGGGCCUGGACCACCCUCCCUGCCGCCGCUGCCGAACUCCGGAAGGCCUGGAGGGUGAAGCUUUAGGGGAGCCCAAAUCACCGCCGACCCGUGUUGUGCAGUUUCCUGGAGGGAGCGUUCGUCGCGAGGCGCUGAAGACUAGAGCGGGGCACGCGGGGAACGAAGUCUCUGCCUGGCGGCUCCUACUCAAGCCGCUCGUCAAGGGCGUGGACCGGGAUGACGAAAGGGCGCGCCACCCAGCACGGGGGGCUCCCCGGGCCACCCCCGAGCCUACAGCGCCAGCCGGAGCGCCACCCAGCACGGGGGGCUCCCCGGGCCACCCCCGAGCCUACAGCGCCAGCCGGAGCCGGAAUCCCCAAGCCCGUUGGCGGCUCUCGGGGACCCUGCCGGAGCCUCCUUCCCGCCGCAGUUUGAAGAUUAACUCAUCUUCACCAGCGAGGAGCCCAGGAGUCAUUAAGUUCGACAUUCUGUGGGAUCGUGAGUCCUCCACGUGGAAGUCAGCACGCCUCUCCGCGGUCAGUGGCCAUGCAGAAGCUUCCGCUUGCACAGCUCUUCCUUGCUGCCUUUGCCACCAGCUCAGCAUUCAGCCUCGUUUCUCUCGUCCCAGGGACCUAAUGGUAGAGCUGCAUCCUGGUUUUGUCAGUUGUGUUUACGUCCUGAACAUCUAUAGAUGGAGACAUUUUUACUUCUCACAAAUGAGGGACACAUCAACCCACGAUGCUCACAUCUCUGGCUUGGAGAGCCAGUCUUGCUCCACCAGAGUCCCCAGAUGA
rnacentral:lncRNA from 1 species